GUGGGGAAUCUUAGACAAUGGGGGCAACCCUGAUCUAGCCAUGCCGCGUGAGUGAUGAAGGCCUUAGGGUCGUAAAGCUCUUUCGCUGGGGAAGAUAAUGACGGUACCCAGUAAAGAAACCCCGGCUAACUCCGUGCCAGCAGCCGCGGUAAUACGGAGGGGGUUAGCGUUGUUCGGAAUUACUGGGCGUAAAGCGCGCGUAGGCGGAUUGGAAAGUUGGGGGUGAAAUCCCGGGGCUCAACCCUGGAAUGGCCUUCAAAACUCCCAGUCUUGAGGUCGAGAGAGGUGAGUGGAAUUCCGAGUGUAGAGGUGAAAUUCGUAGAUAUUGGAAGGAACACCAGUGGCGUAAGCGGCUAUCUGGACGACUAUUGACGCUGAGGCACGAAAGCGUGGGGAUCAAACAGGAUUAGAUACCCCAGUAGUCC
rnacentral:rRNA from 1 species